UGGGGAAUUUUGGACAAUGGGGGAAACCCUGAUCCAGCCAUCCCGCGUGUGCGAUGAAGGCCUUCGGGUUGUAAAGCACUUUUGGCAGGAAAGAAACGUCAUGGGUUAAUACCCCGUGAAACUGACGGUACCUGCAGAAUAAGCACCGGCUAACUACGUGCCAGCAGCCGCGGUAAUACGUAGGGUGCAAGCGUUAAUCGGAAUUACUGGGCGUAAAGCGUGCGCGGGCGGUUCGGAAAGAAAGAUGUGAAAUCCCAGAGCUCAACUUUGGAACUGCAUUUUUAACUACCGGGCUAGAGUGUGUCAGAGGGAGGUGGAAUUCCGCGUGUAGCAGUGAAAUGCGUAGAUAUGCGGAGGAACACCGAUGGCGAAGGCAGCCUCCUGGGAUAACACUGACGCUCAUGUACGAAAGCGUGGGGAGCAAACAGG
rnacentral:rRNA from 1 species